rnacentral:rRNA from 1 species
AACGAACGCUGGCGGCAGGCUUAACACAUGCAAGUCGAGCGCCCCGCAAGGGGAGCGGCAGACGGGUGAGUAACGCGUGGGAAUCUACCCAUCUCUACGGAAUAACGCAUGGAAACGUGUGCUAAUACCGUAUACGUCCUUCGGGAGAAAGAGUUAUCGGAGAUGGAUGAGCCCGCGUUGGAUUAGCUAGUUGGUGGGGUAAAGGCCUACCAAGGCGACGAUCCAUAGCUGGUCUGAGAGGAUGAUCAGCCACACUGGGACUGAGACACGGCCCAGACUCCUACGGGAGGCAGCAGUGGGGAAUAUUGGACAAUGGGCGCAAGCCUGAUCCAGCCAUGCCGCGUGAGUGAUGAAGGCCCUAGGGUUGUAAAGCUCUUUCACCGGUGAAGGUAAUGACGGUAACCGGAGAAGAAGCCCCGGCUAACUUCGUGCCAGCAGCCGCCGUAACAC